AGCGAACGCUGGCGGCAGGCUUAACACAUGCAAGUCGAGCGGAUGAGGGGUGCUUGCACCCUGAUUCAGCGGCGGACGGGUGAGUAAUGCCUAGGAAUCUGCCCGAUAGUGGGGGACAACGUUUCGAAAGGAACGCUAAUACCGCAUACGUCCUACGGGAGAAAGUGGGGGCUCUUCGGACCUCACGCUAUCGGAUGAGCCUAGGUCGGAUUAGCUAGUUGGUGGGGUAAAGGCUCACCAAGGCGACGAUCCGUAACUGGUCUGAGAGGAUGAUCAGUCACACUGGAACUGAGACACGGUCCAGACUCCUACGGGAGGCAGCAGUGGGGAAUAUUGGACAAUGGGCGAAAGCCUGAUCCAGCCAUGCCGCGUGUGUGAAGAAGGUCUUCGGAUUGUAAAGCACUUUAAGUCGGGAGGAAGGGCUGUAGGUUAAUACCUUGCAGCCUUGACGUUACCGACAGAAUAAGCACCGGCUAACUUCGUGCCAGCAGCCGCAGUAACAC
rnacentral:rRNA from 1 species